rnacentral:piRNA from 1 species
GACGUUAUUAAAAACAAACAGGAGGGGAAA